rnacentral:rRNA from 1 species
UUACAGGGAGGUAGUGACAAGAAAUAACAAUACAGGACUUUUUGGUUUUGUAAUUGGAAUGAGUUAAGUAUAAACCCCUUUACAAGUAUCAAUUGGAGGGCAAGUCUGGUGCCAGCAGCCGCGGUAAUUCCAGCUCCAAUAGCGUAUAUUAAAGUUGUUGCAGUUAAAAAGCUCGUAGUUGGAUUUCUGUUAAUAAUUUAUAUAAAAUAUUUUGAUGAAUAUUUAUAUAAUAUUAACAUAAUUCAUAUUACUAUAUAUUUUAGUAUAUGAAAUUUUACCUUGAGAAAAUUAGAGUGCUUAAAGCAGGCAUAUGCCUUGAAUACUCCAGCAUGGAAUAAUAUUAAAGAUUUUUAUCUUUCUUAUUGGUUCUAAGAUAAGAAUAAUGAUUAAUAGGGACAGUUGGGGGCAUUUGUAUUUAACAGUCAGAGGUGAAAUUCUUAGAUUUGUUAAAGACAAACUAAUGCGAAAGCAUUUGCCAAGGAUGUUUGCAUUAAUCAAGAACGAAAGUUAGGGGAUCGAAGACGAUCAGAUACCGUCGUAGUCUUAACCAUAAACUAUGCCAACUAGAGAUUGGAGGUUGUUCCUUACUCCUUAA